UAAAAAAGACUCAGCAGCAUUUCUAACAGCACAAUGGAGGAUCCAGAGCCAUCUUGUGAUCAGGAACAGUGAGAAUUUUCUCUGCUUCCAGCUGAUGCUCCUCCUAAAUAGCUGAAAGGAAGGAAAACUCUUCUACAAAGUGGGAAGGUGGAAGAAAGAAAUCAUGAGGGGGAAGAAUCCCCCAUCAUUUAAAAGUGUUGCAGCUACCUGUUUUCCCUGAAAAACUGCCUCUGAGUUGAAGAACCUUUGGGAUAUGGUAGCAUCAGGACUUGCUUCUAGAUAAGGGAAUAUACAAGGUGGUCCUCGAAUUAUGACCCCACUUGAGC